rnacentral:rRNA from 1 species
CAAUAGCGUAUAUUAAAGUUGUUGCAGUUAAAAAGCUCGUAGUUGGAUUUCUGGUCGGAAGCUCCUGUCCUCUGAUGAGCGUACAAGUGCGUCCUACCAUCCUUCUGUUAACCUUUAAGGCUUUCGCGGCUUUCUAGGGGCUCAGAUAUUCUACCUUGAGAAAAUUAGAGUGUUUCAGGCAGGCUAGCGCCGGAAUACAUUAGCAUGGAAUAAUGGAAUAGGACUUUUGCCUCUUCUGUUGGUCAUGAGGCUCGAGUAAUGAUUAAUAGGGAUAGUUGGGGGCAUUAGUACUUAACUGUCAGAGGUGAAAUUCUCGGAUUUGUUAAAGACUAACUUAUGCGAAAGCAUUUGCCAAGGAUGUUUUCAUUAA